ACUCCGUACGGGAGGCAGCAGGUGGGGAAUAUUGGACAAUGGGCGAAAGCCUGAUCCAGCCAUGCCGCGUGUGUGAAGAAGGUCUUCGGAUUGUAAAGCACUUUAAGUUGGGAGGAAGGGCAGUUACCUAAUACGUGAUUGUUUUGACGUUACCGACAGAAUAAGCACCGGCUAACUCUGUGCCAGCAGCCGCGGUAAUACAGAGGGUGCAAGCGUUAAUCGGAAUUACUGGGCGUAAAGCGCGCGUAGGUGGUUAGUUAAGUUGGAUGUGAAAUCCCCGGGGCUCAACCUGGGAACUGCAUUCAAAACUGACUGACUAGAGUAUGGUAGAGGGUGGUGGAAUUUCCUGUGUAGCGGUGAAAUGCGUAGAUAUAGGAAGGAACACCAGUGGCGAAGGCGACCACCUGGACUGAUACUGACACUGAGGUGCGAAAGCGUGGGGAGC
rnacentral:rRNA from 1 species